GAGGCCAGUGGGGCUGGCAGCCGGCCCUCGUCCUGCAGCCUGCACACCACACCACUGUACAGUGCGGCCAGUGCCGCUCCACACGCAGGCUCCACCAGGAUCUUCUCGUCAUCUGUGGGGAAGGGGCUGGUCAGCUCUCCACACCAGGAAGUCUUGGACCAAACCUCUCACUGUGGCUGAACCCAGACUCAGUUUCUUCAGCCUGUGCCAAGAGUUCUCAGGUAUCUGAGAGGGUGCCUAGGUGUGUGGCAGUAAGCUGCGGUUAUUAAUAACUGGCAGUGUGUUAUUUUUCAUCCUUUUUGGCUUUUUUUCCCCUCCCCUCUGAGUCAGGGUUUCUCUGUGUAGCCCUGGCCAUCCUGGAACUUGCUCUGUAGACCAGGCUGGCUUUGAGCUCUCAGAGAUCCGCCUGCCUCUGGAGUGCUGGGAUUAAAGGUGUGCAGCACCACUACCCAGGUUCUUUUCUUCUUCUUUUUUUUUAAUAAACGAUUUAUUAUGUAGUGUUCUGUCUGCAUGUAUGCAUGCAGGCCAGAAGAGGGAACAAGAUCUCAUUACAGAUGGUUGUGAGCCACCAUGUGGUUGCUGGGAAUUGAACUCAGGACCUCUGGAAGAACAACUAGUGCUCUUAACCUUUGAGCCAUCUCUCCAGCUACCCCCCUCCUCCUGGUUCUUUUUGACCAUCUUGUUGCAGACUGAACCAAGAGAGUUCCAUUACAGACCACCUCCAAUCCAGCUCAUCUCAAUCCUUUCCCUGUGACCCUGACUACUAGGGAGCUCAAAACGGGCACUUGAAAGGAUGGCUGGCUUGUCUUCCCUGCUGUCAUGACUGCCAGGCUCACUUUUUUUAAAUUAAUUAUUUUUUCAUUUAUUUUACUCACUGACCACAGUUUCCCCUCCCUCCUCUCCUCCUGUCCCCUCCUCCCCUCAUCCAUUUCUUCCCUGUCUUCAGAAAGUGGCAGACCUCCCAUGGGAGUCAACAAAGCAUGCCACAUCAAGUUGAGGCAGGACCAACCUCUCUCUGCAUCAGGGUUGGCCCAGGCAACUCAGCAUGGGGAUUGGAUUCCCAAAAGCCAGCCCAAGCGCCAGGGACAGGUCCUGAUCCCACUGCUAGGGGACCCACAAACAGACCAAGCUACACAACUGUCACACACAUGCAGAGGGUCUAGUUCAGUCCCAUUCAGGCUCCCUAGCUGUCGUUUCAGAGUUGGUGAGCUCCCAGGAGCUCAGGUCAGCUGUCUCUGUGGAGUCCCCUGUCAUGACCUUGACCUCCUGGCUCGUACAGUCCUUUCUGUCUUCAACAGGGCUCCUGCAGCUCUGCCCAGUGCUUGGCUCCCAGGAAUCCACAAGGAUGACCCCGGCUAAGAUUCCUAACAAUACCGGAGAGGGUGCCUGAACGGGCCGUCUAAUGUCAUCGACAUUGGGGACUAUUCUGUCAUCAGAGAGCCUUCCUCCAGUCACUCACUGAUGGAAGCAGAUGCAGGCUCACUAUUUCAUGAGCAGCCCAGAGCCUUGGCCAGUUGGAUGGCCUCAUCCAACAUCUGCAGGGCAGUGGGAGUAGGAAGAGAAUGAAAUGAUGGGGGACCUUGUCCAGCUGUCAGGAGCCCUCUCACCUGCCACCUGCCGGUCCGCACUCACCUCUCCCACCACUUCAACGGUGGCGCCUUCGUCCUUGAGCCGCUCGAUGGCUCUGAACUCCUGUCUCCUCCCAAGUGACCUCUGCCUCAUCCUGGGACGCCGAAUCUGGACGUCUAUGAAUGGGUUCAUUGCUGCAGAGACCACGGCCCCAGAGAGGUGAAGCGCCUGGCCUCAGGACACACACAGUCCAGGAUAGGAAGGGAAAGAAAGCCUCUUGGCCACUUACCUGAAGAACAGACAAAAUGUUUACAGCCUUGUUCUGCCCUCUGUGGAGACAAGAGGAGGGGUCAGGCUACCUCUCAGUCCCUGCCUGGAGCAUCCACACUGAACUCACUCACCUUCCUCCUCUUGGUAUCUGAACCACCCUCCCCUCAGGCAUAGCUUUCCCAAGGAGACUGGCUGGGGUAAGGGAGCAGAUGUCAGUCUUGAGAGAAUCUCAUGAGUGGGGUAUCCCUUAGCCAGAGGAAACUCUGAUAUGUGUAGCCUAUUCUAAAAUUACUUUCUUUUUAGGAAGAUAGUAUUUAUUCAAGUUAUUUAUCUACGUGUAUGUGUGCAUGUGUUGCCUGCAGAGGGCAGAAGAGAGCAUCAGAUGCCCUGGAGCUGGAGUUACAGUAUUCUGCCUGCAUGUUUGCCUGCACACCAGAAGAGGGCGCCAGAUCUCAUUACGGGUGGUUGUGAGCCACCAUGUGGUUGCUGGGAAUUGAACUCAGGACCCCUGGAAGAGCAGCCAGUGCUCUUAACCUCUGAGCCAUCUCUCCAGCCCAGGUAUGAUUUUUUAAGCCUCUUGGGAGGUGCACCCGGGUUGAAUGUCCCUCAAAGCUUGGUUCCUGGUCUCUGUGCUGGGUGGCCCAACUAGUCACAUUAGCUUUUUUGCACCUAACUCUUUCCCUUGUUCUGGGCAGAUGAGUUGUGGUAGGGAGUGUCUCUGCCAGGGUUUCAAACUCAAAUACAUCCAAGGUUCAGUCAUGGCUGCUGGGUGCUGGGGAGCAACAGAGUGGGAGGAUAGGGUGACUGCGGGACUGUGGCCUUCCAGAGAGGGUGGUAUAGCUUAGCUUGGCUGAUGGAAAUCAUGCCGAAAGGCCGGAUUCUCGGGUCUGCAAUGAUCAGACUUCUUGGUCAGGGAUGGGGAGUCUUUGAACUUGGCCAAGGAGCCACGCUAUGUGUGUGUGUGUGUGUGUGGGGGGGGAUUCAUAUGCCUACACCCUCACUUAGUCGCUGCUCACUGGCUGCAUGUGUGGCUUCACCUGCCAGGUCCCUGGUCCCACCUAGUGGCUCAGAACUCGUGCAAGCAAGGAAGAGUGUGAGGUGAGGGUCUGUGACGGAGGCUGGUUGGCAAGUGUCGGAGGCUCCACGUGGUUCAGCAGCAAGGUCUCUUUGUCCCGGGAACAGGAUGCACAGCUGGCGCUGAGGUGGUGAAAUGAGGAUUAAUGAGCAACCCAGAGGACUGGCAUGGUGGCUCUUCGGUGGCCUGAGGUGUCAGGGACAGGAGCUGGCUGACAAACAUAGCCUCCCCCCCUCCCCCGUCCCCGUUAGCCUUCCAAGCCCAUCCCCUCCCUCAUUCCAGCCAGCAUCUGUGGAGCCCAGCCCCUCCGCGACUCAGCCUCUGGCUCUGCCCCUGCUCUGUGACCUUGCGUCAAUGACUCGGUUUCUCCGAACCUGUUUCCUCAGCACAGGGGAUCGUUGGAAUUUUUUUUUUCUUUUUUGUCCAGGUAGUUGUACAUUCUGUGAUGGAAUGACGUCACAGGCUUCUCUGCCACUUUGUGCCGUAUUCUCAGGGAACCACAGGACAGACAACAGAGCACCAGCUGUGGGCCCCCCGUGUCCCACACACACAUCUGCUCCACAGCAGGGCAAACAAGGCACAGAGAGACUGAGUGACUUGCCUAGGGUUCCUCAGCCCAGGGAAGUGGUGUGGCUGCUACUCUGCGUGGCAGAGCCCGGCUCCAAGAUCUGUGUCCUAGAUACUGAACGCACUGCCUCCCCCAUAGGAGCCCGCCCCGCGCCUGUUCUGCUUUCUUUCGUUUCUCUGUUCUCAUUAAAAAAUUAAAAAUUA